UGUAGAGGACUUAUCGUCGAUCGUUCGGUUCCGUGGUUCGGUUGCUCGUUUCUCUUCGCUUUCUGGACGUCUCAAUUUCAUUAACCAUGUCGUAUUCCAGCGAAAAUGGAGGAUAAUGGUGAUUUCGGAAAGGAAGUCGAUAAGGAAUUAUGGGCGAGAUAGAGAACACGAUGGGAACAAGGAAAUUUGAUGAGUAGAAUCCAGAUCUGAGCCACGAAGAGAAAUCGAUAUUUUUGGCGUAUGUAGAAACGCAAAUCGAGAAGUAAUAUGGAGGUAUAAUAUCAACAGCAUCAUUGAUCACGCAAUUAACGAGCGAUAUGAGCAUCACAAUGACAAGAGGAUUGGCGGUAACGAUGCAACUGCGACAACAUGACUGGCCAUACAUGACGUAGGCAGUGACACGAUCACAUUUUUCCCAAUAUGAGAGUUGUCGAUUUGACAAUCUAUCGCGACAUUUUAGUGGUCCUUCUAUGAUCGCAUCAUAAUUAUUAAUCGAAAUCAAUCGCAUUCUUAUGAAAUCGUAACAUGUAAUCAACGACAAAUAUAUCGAUAGGUCAGAGAUAAUUGCCAUUAUAUUAUAUGCGUUAAUACAACUCGCUUCUUUACAUAUA